rnacentral:rRNA from 1 species
AUUGAACGCUGGCGGCAGGCCUAACACAUGCAAGUCGAACGCGUGGCGGACGGGUGAGUUAUGUCUGGGAAACUGCCCGAUGGAGGGGGAUCACUACUGGAAACUGUAGCUAAUACCGCAUACCAUCGGAUGUGCCCAGGUGGGAUUAGCUAGUAGGGGGGGUAACGGCGCACCUAGGCGACGAGCCCUAGCUGGUCUGAGAGGAUGACAAGCCACACGUGAACUGAGACACGGUCCAGACUCCUACGGGAGGCAGCAGUGGGGAAUAUUGGACAAGGGGCGCAAGCCUGAUGCAGCCAUGCCGCGUGUAUGAAGAAGGCCUUCGGGUUGUAAAGUACUUUCAGCGGGGAGGCGUUACACGCAGAAGAAGCACCGGCUAACUCCGUGCCAGCAGCCGCGGUAAUAC